rnacentral:lncRNA from 1 species
AUGUGUAUCUGCUACCUUGUCAAGGCUGUCUCCUGGAACCAAACCGAUGGAUGUCGGGGACAACUGCCAGCAGCUACAGAAAUACUUCUAUUGAGACUGCCUGCAGAGAAUCCUCAUCCUCAGCUUCUGUUCCUAGGAGCUACCCUGUGUUUCAAUGCCAGUCACUCACAAAAUCCAGAGAAGAUGUGGAAAAGAAAGCACUUUGGAGUCAGGGAGAAGAGAACAAUGUAUCAGAUACAAGAGAAUCGCCAAAAGGACUUUCUCACGAUGAAGCAGACAGACAAUGAGAAGGAACAUGAUAACUGAACAAGAAAACAUCAACUGCACUGGUAAUGGAAACACUGUGGACAAAUUCUACAUUACUCUAGCUGGGAGGAAACUCACUUUCCACUCUAGUAAAGCAUUUAAAGAAAAGGAUAUUAUAUGUACAAUAACUACAAAUAAAAAUGAACAUCAAUGAAUUUAUAGUAGAUACAAGAUACAGUAUCAAGAACCCAGUGAGAAAAGGGGAAAAUGUUGGGAUUUUAUGUGAAGAAGAUACAUUUGUGUAACUUCAAAUGCAUUGCUUCAAUUAUAGUUUUUGGAAGUAACUAGUUAAAUGAUAUAAAAUUUCAAUAUUCCUAAAAAGAAAUAAGCGUCUCCCAAAAAAUAAGAAAUAUGGACGGAAUGACCCUAAGAGAUGAAGGAUCCAGUAAUAUGAUGCCUCCAUUUUCCAUUUUUAAACACUUAGAACACAUAGUAAUGGGCUAGCUCUGUGAGGACAUAGUUGUUGGUUGCGAUUACAUUUUUCUGGAGCAGUUAACUUGCUGGCAAAGGUUAUUAGUACAACAAGAAUCUCCAGAUGUCUAGGAACUUUUAGCAUUCUUAUUGCAGUAAUUCACCAUCAGGACUUCAUAGUCAAGAUUAAUAUAACUAAAAAGAAAAAAACCACUUAACAUAUUAUGUUCAAGUAAAUUUCAACAGCUUUUCCAAUUCAAAUAAAACUUUUUUUCACCUCUGCAAACAAUAAUAAGCAGAAUUUUCACUAUAGCCUGCUACUUAAUCUACUUGUCUCUAAUCACUUACUUAUAAAUUAUGGGGAUUUAAAAAAUUGGAUGUUUUCUGUAAGUCUGCAGAAUGAUUUGUAAUAUUUGAAAAAGUCAGAAGCAAAGGUAGAACCUUAUUACGGCUCAGGCAGGAAGGCCCCGAGGAUUAGCACCCAGCCUGGUGAUCUGAAUUCCAUCCUGUAAACUUCAUGGCAGGGGAAGGAAACUUAGCAAAUUUUCAGGAUAAAGAUUAUAUUUCUACUCCUUAAAAGUAUAUAUUUAUGCUGCUUUUUUCUUGUCUUGUCCUUUUUUUCUGCAAUUAUUUUAUCCCUCCACAUCUGUUCUUUUUUUUUUUUGUAGAGAAUAUUCAUUUUUUAUUUAUUUAUUUAUUUAUUUAUUUAUUUAUUUAUUUAUUUAUUUUAUUAACUUGAGUAUUUCUUAUAUACAUUUCGAGUGUUAUUCCCUUUCCCGGUUUCCGGGCAAACAUCCCCCUCCCCCCUCCCCUUCCUUAUGGGUGUUCCCC